CCUACGGGUGGCAGCAGUGGGGAAUAUUGCACAAUGAGGGAAACCCUGAUGCAGCGACGCCGCGUGCGUGAAGAAGUAAUUCGUUAUGUAAAGCUCUAUCAGCAGGGAAGAACAUGACGGUACCUGAGUAAUAAGCCCCGGGUAACUACUUGCCAGCAGCCGCGGUAAUACGUAGGGGGCAAGCGUUAUCCGGAUUUACUGGGGGGAAAGGCAUCGUAGACGGCAGUGCAAGUCUGGAGGGAAAGGCGGGGGCUCAAACCCCGGACUGCUUUGGAAACUGUACGGCUGGAGUGCUGGAGAGGUAAGUGGAAUUCCUAGUGUAGCGGUGAAAUGCGUAGAUAUUAGGAGGAACACCAGAGGCGAAGGCGGCUUACUGGACUGUAACUGACGUUGAGGGUCGAAAGCGUGGGGAGCAAACAGGAUUAGAUACCCUAGUAGUC
rnacentral:rRNA from 1 species